GCGUCUCCAGCCUGGGAGGGACGGAGAGGGAGAGAUGAGGAUGGAAGGAGGAGGGGAGGAAACGCAGGCUCCAGAGAGGGUUUCGUUGACCUGGGAGAGCCACCCGCCGCAGCCCGCAAACAGCAGCCGGGCCAAGUGGGUCCGGCUGAACGUCGGGGGCACGGUUUUCCUCACCACCAGGCAGACCCUGUGCCGGGAGCAGAAAUCGUUCCUCUGCCGCUUGUGCCAGGGGGAGGAGCUGCAGUCAGACCGGGAUGAGACUGGUGCGUACCUAAUAGACCGGGACCCCACAUAUUUUGGACCUAUCCUGAAUUUCCUCCGUCAUGGCAAGCUGGUACUGAAUAAAGACAUGGCUGAGGAGGGGGUUCUAGAAGAAGCUGAAUUCUAUAACAUCGGCCCUUUAAUCAGAAUAAUCAAGGACAGACUGGAGGAGAAGAACUACACCAUAACACAGGUGCCUCCGAAGCAUGUGUACCGGGUGCUGCAGUGCCAGGAAGAAGAGCUCACUCAGAUGGUUUCCACUAUGUCAGAUGGAUGGCGCUUUGAGCAGUUGGUGAAUAUCGGGUCAUCCUAUAACUAUGGGAAUGAGGACCAGACAGAGUUCCUGUGCGUGGUCUCCAAAGAGCUGUACAACUCACCCAAUGGUCUGAGCUCUGAGCCUAGCCACAAAGCCAAGAGCACAGAGGAGGAUCCAGAGGAGGAAGAGCAGGAGCAGGAGGAGGAGGAGGCAGAGGAGAAAGGUGCAUCAAAUCCCUGAGGAAAAUGAUAAUAAUAAAAACCCAACCAUAAAGCCGUCCGUUCCCGUCUGUUGUUACAAGCCAGAGGCCUCAGGAUGUGAUACCGACGAUCAACUCCAGCCUUUUAAUUUCCAUUUAAAAUCUUUAUUUUUGUACUGUAGUUUAUGGCAGCCCUCUGGGGGAAAGCGUCGCAGCGACUCCACUCCUCACCCUCAACUUGUUGCCUUUGUUUUUAAAGUUCUGUUUUGGAAUAUCGUUUCUGAAGCUCACACUCGCAUCCCCCCUGAGAAAGGCAGAUACCCCCGUCUUUGUGUCUGACUUGCUGCAGGGGAUGUAAUCCACACCCUGCAAUCUCCCCAGGCCCACAGGAUUUCCCUUCCUUAGGGUCACAGUCAGUGCUUAAUUUGUGCCAGGGCUGAGCCCCGGCAUCUCUAGGCUUGGCAGUUCAUAGCCCCGGCACCUGUGGAUUUGCCGCAUCAGUUUUGAAAGUAAAUCAUUGCUUGAGCCCCGGCACCUCUUUCACUCUAAAUUAAGCACUGGUCACAGUGACCCCUGCUGGGGAGGACAGAACUCAGCAGCUACACGCUUCCUUCCUACCCCGACCUGCUGACUAGAUUCAGGCCUGUGUGUCUGAUUCACUGUCAGAGCCACUGUUGGGGAGGGCAGUUGAGCUGUGCUUGUCACCAGGGGGCAAAUGGGGAAUCCCUGCCUCUCUCCGGAUAGCCUCUGUGCUUAGCACAAGGAGUAAAGGGGCAGCCUUGAUCCUUUGCUGGGUAAUACACACACAGAGGCCCUGCAGGGAGAGGUUUAAUUUCAAUGGGGGUGAAAGAGGCAGGAGUACGGCAUGGCAUACCUGGCUUCUGAUGUAGCUUCUGACUGUUCUAGGAAGGAGAUGCCUGCCAGGGCUUCUGGGCAUGGGGUGUUUCUGCGGUGUCUGAGGAUGCUGUGUUAUAACUCCUGAAUAAAUGUCACUGUCCAUUA